ACGGGAGGCAGCAGUGGGGAAUAUUGGGCAAUGGGCGAAAGCCUGACCCAGCAACGCCGCGUGAAGGAAGAAGGUUUUCGGAUCGUAAACUUCUGUCCUCAAUGAAAAGCAGAAGAUGGUAAUUGAGGAGGAAGCCCCGGCUAACUACGUGCCAGCAGCCGCGGUAAUACGUAGGGGGCGAGCGUUGUCCGGAAUGAUUGGGCGUAAAGGGCGCGUAGGCGGUUUCUUAAGUCUGGAGUGAAAGUCCUGUUUUUAAGAUGGGAAUUGCUUUGGAGACUGGGGGACUUGAGUGCAGGAGAGGUUAUCGGAAUUCCCGGUGUAGCGGUGAAAUGCGUAGAGAUCGGGAGGAACAUCAGUGGCGAAGGCGGGUAACUGGACUGUAACUGACGCUGAGGCGCGAAAGUGUGGGGAGCAAACAGGAUUAGAUACCCUGGUA
rnacentral:rRNA from 1 species